CUUAUGCAAUCAGUUAUUUUCACUCCCAAAUUUCAUUCCCUCUAGAAAUUUCGUAUCGCCUUCAAAUUUUACCAAAAUAUUCCCUCCCAAAAUAUUCCUACCAAUCCAGAUUUCAGUUCAAGGUUUUUCUUUUGAUGUUUACUGAUGAACAUAUACUACAGUUACGAAUUUGAAUUCAAGUUUUUUCCCCAAACCCUGAUUCCAUUUGGAGCCCUAAAUCUGUUCUUCACCAAAUUUCAAUUCAAUUAAAGAAUUAAUGGUGGCCGUUGGGCUAGGCAAUCAUUCGACAAUCGGCACUCACACAACCACAGGCCCACGCUAUUGGCUCGCAAGCAAUUGAACAAUCUGGUUUGCGCUUCAAUAUUUUUAUAAGUAUAAUUUUUUUGAUUUGUUGGUCGAUCAGGUGUUCAACAAAAAGAAAAGGAAUACAAAGGCCAGUCGCUAAUUUUAUGUUCGAUUUGGUACACGUUCUUUCAUUGGUUUAAUCUACGUUAUUUUGGAGAAGAGAAAAACUUACCAUAUUCAGAGCAGAAAGAGGAGUUUCUUAAAGCACUUAAAGAGAAUCAAGCCCUAGUUUUGGUCGGUGAGGAUGUAAUGGUAAAGCCACUAAGAUUCCUCAAUUUGUGCUCAAAGCCGUAGAGUUAGAGAGCGUAGAUAAACGUAACAAGUUCAUGGCGGAUUGCACCAACCUCGUAGGUGGCUGAAAUGUCUGUUUCCAGCCUAGUUGUAGAGGAAAUGGAUGUCACAAUUGGAGAAGAAGUUGGUUAUAGAAUCCCCUUUUUGCAGCAGUCCAAAAUCUAUUUUGAAGUAUGUUUUUGAAAUACUAAUACAAAAGAAAUGUUCUCAAAUCUCAUAGUUUCACCAGUGUUGUAGAUUCUAUUAUCAGAAGUGGUCCAGCUGAUGUUGUGGAGAGUGUAAAUGAUGGCUCUAAUAGUUCUUUUUUAGGAUUAUUAGGUGAUGUCUCUAAAAGAAUGACAUCAUUUUUUGUAUGCAAGCGUUUCCAAACCUUUUUAUAUUCUGCUAGUGAUUGUUAAUGCACUACAGGUUGCUGCCUUUGUCCCCAAAAGUGAACUUGAUUGUGAAAUAGAUGAGAUGCCCAUUUGCUGGAAGUAAUUGCCAAAACAUACUACAGAAGUUCCAGAUGGAGGAGAUGAAAAGACGCGAGAUAACUUUUUUGCUGAUUGCAGCUUGAUUGUAUUGGUUUCGAAGAAGCUGAAGAUAAGAAAGCCGAAUUUAUGACUACAGACUAAAUUUGUGGCUUCAGAUUUGAUUUGUGGAUUCUUUCAGGUCUCUAAAUUUCCAAAAUGGCUGCUUAAAGCUUUGCAAUGGAGUCGUUUAAGCAUGUUUUACAUAUGGCCAGGAUAUUUGCUUUAUGAGCAAACGAUUUAAGUUUUUAGGAUAUGUACAAGUAUAAAAUUAUUUACUUCAAGAAGUCUGUGUGUGGGUGUAGAGAUUCAACAUAUCUCCAGAUCUUAAAAACAGAGAUUCUUCUAUUUUUAACAACGACUAGGCUGCUUGAUGUUAUGGAGGAUUAUUUGUACUGGAAAAAGUACAAGUACCUUCGCUUAGAUGGACAUACAUCUGGUGGAGACCGUGGGGCCUUAAUUGAUCAGUCUAACAAUCCAGGAUCACCAUUUUUCAUAUUCCUGCUCAGCAUUCGCGCCGGAGGUGUUGGAGUGAAUCUUCAAGCUACAGAUACAGUCAUCAUUUUUUACACAAAUUGGAAUCCACAGGCAUUACAUAUAUGGAGGAUUAUCUGUGUUUUGUUUUUGUAGGAUGAUCCCCUAUGUGUUGCUGCCAGACAAGAUGGGAAGAUAUUAGUCUCUAGUCUGUGGGUUGAUCACAGUUUUGAUGUCGGAGCGCCUGUGGAUACAACCUCGGUAAUGUACGUACCAAUGAGAUAUUUGAAUGGGAUUCCAGGUGCAACGUCACUAGUUAUAUGUUUGACAGGAUAUCAACGUGAAGAUCGAGAGGACAUUAUGGUGAUGUCAAAAGAAGUUGAGUAUAGUCGGUUGGCUGAUGUAGCGGCAAUAAGUAGUAAGUGCUGGAAACUAUGAAGCGGAAGUAUGACUACUAAGAAAACGUUAACACGAUGAUUAUUUAACUCGCAUGAAGAUUGUGAGAGAUUCAUGAACACAAUGAAGUUUUGAGUUUUUAUUCAUACACUUGUUAGUUUAUUUGGGUUAUUUGUUUGAUCGUUAGACUUAGAUCGACACUUAUUAGAGAUUUGGAAUCUUUUGAAGAUCGAUUGAACUUUUAAUUGAAGUGAUUAUUUUAUGAUUUCUACA